ACGAACGCUGGCGGCGUGCUUAACACAUGCAAGUCGCACGGAAAGGCCCUGCUUUUGUGGGGUGCUCGAGUGGCGAACGGGUGAGUAACACGUGAGUAACCUGCCCUUUACUUUGGGAUAACUUCAGGAAACUGGGGCUAAUACCGGAUAGGAGCUCCUGCUGCAUGGUGGGGGUUGGAAAGUUUCGGCGGUUGGGGAUGGACUCGCGGCUUAUCAGCUUGUUGGUGGGGUAGUGGCUUACCAAGGCUUUGACGGGUAGCCGGCCUGAGAGGGUGACCGGCCACAUUGGGACUGAGAUACGGCCCAGACUCCUACGGGAGGCAGCAGUGGGGAAUAUUGCACAAUGGGCGGAAGCCUGAUGCAGCAACGCCGCGUGCGGGAUGACGGCCUUCGGGUUGUAAACCGCUUUCGCCUGUGACGAAGCGUGAGUGACGGUAAUGGGUAAAGAAGCACCGGCUAACUACGUG
rnacentral:rRNA from 1 species